AGAGUUUGAUCCUGGCUCAGAAUCAACGCUGGCGGCGUGCCUAACACAUGCAAGUCGAGCGAGAAAAGGGGGGCAACUCCCUGAGUACAGCGGCGCACGGGUGAGUAACACGUGGGUAAUCUGCCCUGAAGUGGGGAAUAACACCGGGAAACCGGUGCUAAUACCGCAUACGAUCACGGAGUCUGCGGAUUUUGUGAUGAAAGGAGCAAUUCGCUUUAGGAGGAGCCCGCGGCUGAUUAGCUAGUUGGUGAGGUAAUGGCUCACCAAGGCUACGAUCAGUAUCCGGUCUGAGAGGACGGUCGGACACACUGGAGCUGAGACACGGUCCAGACUCCUACGGGAGGCAGCAGUGGGGAAUUUUUCGCAAUGGGGGCAACCCUGACGAAGCAACGCCGCGUGGGUGAUGAAGUCUCUUGGGACGUAAAACCCUUUCGACGGGGAAGAAACCGCAAGGUUGACGGUACCCGUAGAAGAAGCCCCGGCUAACUCCGUGCCAGCAGCCGCGGUAAUACGGGGGGGGCAAGCGUUGUUCGGAAUUACUGGGCGUAAAGGGUGCGUAGGCGGUUCGUUAAGUUAGAUGUGAAAACUCUGGGCUCAACCCAGAGCCUGCAUCUAAAACUGGCGGGCUAGAGUUCUGGAGGGGGUAGCGGAAUUCCUGGUGUAGCGGUGAAAUGCGUAGAUAUCAGGAGGAACACCGGUGGCGAAGGCGGCUACCUGGACAGAAACUGACGCUGAGGCACGAAAGCUAGGGGAGCAAACAGGAUUAGAUACCCUGGUAGUCCUAGCCCUAAACGAUGGAUACUUGGUGUGUCCGGGAUUGAAUCCGGGCGUGCCGAAGCUAACGCAUUAAGUAUCCCGCCUGGGGAGUACGGUCGCAAGGCUGAACUCAAAGGAAUUGACGGGGGCCCGCACAGCGGUGGAGUAUGUGGUUUAAUUCGACGCACGCGAAGAACCAUACCUGGCUCGAACGGCUAGUGACAGGUGGCGAAAGUCGCUUUUCCCGCAA
rnacentral:rRNA from 1 species